rnacentral:rRNA from 1 species
CCUACGGGGUGCUGCAGUGGGGAAUAUUGGACAAUGGGCGAAAGCCUGAUCCAGCCAUGCCGCGUGUGUGAAGAAGGCCUUCGGGUUGUAAAGCACUUUCAGUGGGGAAGAAAGCCUUGGGGCUAAUACCCUCGAGGAAGGACAUCACCCACAGAAGAAGCACCGGCUAACUCCGUGCCAGCAGCCGCGGUAAUACGGAGGGUGCGAGCGUUAAUCGGAAUUACUGGGCGUAAAGCGCGCGUAGGCGGUGUGAUAAGCCGGUUGUGAAAGCCCCGGGCUCAACCUGGGAACGGCAUCCGGAACUGUCAGGCUAGAGUGCAGGAGAGGAAGGUAGAAUUCCCGGUGUAGCGGUGAAAUGCGUAGAGAUCGGGAGGAAUACCAGUGGCGAAGGCGGCCUUCUGGACUGACACUGACGCUGAGGUGCGAAAGCGUGGGUAGCAAACAGGAUUAGAUACCCGAGUAGUC